GUAACAAGGGGGUAGCGAGUAGAUGACAAAGGGGUAGGCUAUUACAUAUAGUUUUGUUAACAUCUAAUUCGUUCACGUUACUAAUCAAACAUCUUCAAUAUUUAUUACUUACUUUCCUUUCUAUUUAACCGACUAGCUAUGCUGGUCGGUUUUAUU
rnacentral:sRNA from 1 species